AGGUACCUCCUGGCAGGCAACUCUCAACAAGAAGCAGCAGCAGUGGAUUGACCAGACGCUGUUUACCAGUAGCUGCCUACAGAGCUCACAGUUCAUCACUGUCCUUUCCCUGGUGGGGUGAAGACCAGAAGAGGGUGAUGUCCUUCCUGUCUUCAAGGCCUGCCUCAGAAAGUGCUGGGUACCCAACCAGGAGCUGCCUACAGAGCUCCCAGUUCAUCACUGUCCUUUCCCUGGUGGGGUGAAGACCAGAAGAGGGUGAUGUCCUUCCUGUCUCCAAGGCCUGCCUCAGAAUGUGCUGAGUGGAGAUCUUCAGUGUUGUUGAACAGUGCCAGAAUUUCUUCCUGGAUGGGACAACUCCAAAUCUCCCAGGUAUUUUGGUUGGUGGGACAGUCCAGAACCACUACAAGCUGAUUUGCCAGUUGUUCAGCAACAUCUACAGGUUUGCAACUCUC